AGCGAACGCUGGCGGCAGGCCUAACACAUGCAAGUCGAGCGGCCGUAGCAAUACGGCAGCGGCAGACGGGAGAGUAACACGUGGGAACGCGCCCUUCGGUUCGGGAUAACUCAGGGAAACUUGGGCUAAUACCGGAUACGCCCUUACGGGGAAAGAUUUAUUGCCGAAGGAACGGCCCGCGUCCGAUUAGCUUGUUGGUGAGGUAACGGCACACCAAGGUGACGAUCGGUAGCUGGUCUGAGAGGAUGACCAGCCUCACUGGGACUGAGACACGGCCCAGACUCCUACGGGAGGCAGCAGUGGGAAUAUUGGACAAUGGGCGCAAGCCUGAUCCAGCCAUGCCGCGUGGGUGAUGAAGGCCCUAGGGUUGUAAAGCCCUUUCAGCGGGGAAGAUAAUGACGGUACCCGCAGAAGAAGCCCCGGCUAACUUCGUGCCAGCCGCCGCCGUAAAAC
rnacentral:rRNA from 1 species